GGGCUCAACCUGGGAACUGCAUUUGAGACUGCCAAGCUGGAGUUUGGCAGAGGGGGGUGGAAUUCCACGUGUAGCAGUGAAAUGCGUAGAGAUGUGGAGGAACACCGAUGGCGAAGGCAGCCCCCUGGGCCAAUACUGACGCUCAUGCACGAAAGCGUGGGGAGCAAACAGGAUUAGAUACCCUGGUAGUCCACGCCCUAAACGAGUUCAACUAGGUGUUUGG
rnacentral:rRNA from 1 species